rnacentral:rRNA from 1 species
CACGUAGGGGGCAAGCGUUGUCCGGAUCAUUGGGCGUAAGCGCGUGUAGGCGGCUCAGUAAGUCCGGCUCUGAAAGCCCGGGGCUUAACCCCGGGAGGCGGGUGGAUACUGCUGAGGCUUGAGUCCGGAAGAGGCGAGUGGAAUUCCCGGUGUAGCGGUGAAAUGCGCAGAUAUCGGGAGGAACACCAAUGGCGAAGGCAGCUCGCUGGGACGUGACUGACGCUGGAGA